AGAGGGUGCAAACGUUGCUCGGAAUCACUGGGCGUAAAGGGCGUGUAGGCGGGUAGGCAAGUCGGGCGUGAAAUCCCUGAGCUCAACUCAGGAACUGCACUCGAAACUGCUUAUCUUGAGUGCCGGAGAGGAAAGCGGAAUACCUGGUGUAGAGGUGAAAUUCGUAGAUAUCAGGUGGAACACCAGUGGCGAAGGCGGCUUUCUGGACGGUAACUGACGCUGAGACGCGAAACGUGGGGAGCAAACAGGAUUAGAUACCCUGGUAGUCCACGCUGUAAACGAUGAGUGCUAGGUGUCGUGGGUAUUGACCCCCGCGGUGCCGUAGCUAACGCAUUAAGCACUCCGCCUGGGAAGUACGGUCGCAAGACUA
rnacentral:rRNA from 1 species